GGUGAACGCUGGCGGCGUGCUUAAGACAUGCAAGUCGAACGGGCUCUUCGGAGCCAGUGGCGCACGGGUGAGUAACGCGUAACUGACCUACCCCAAAGUCGCGGAUAACGAUUCGAAAGAAUCGCUAAUACGUGAUGUGCUGUCAGAUCCUGUUCUGCCAGUAAAGAUUUAUUGCUUUGGGAUGGGGUUGCGUUCCAUCAGCUAGUUGGUGGGGUAAAGGCCCACUAAGGCGACGACGGAUCGCCGGCCUGAGAGGGUGGCCGGCCACAGGGGCACUGAGACACGGGUCCCACUCCUACGGGAGGCAGCAGUUAGGAAUCUUCCACAAUGGGCGAAAGCCUGAUGGAGCGACGCCGCGUGAGGGAUGAAGGUCUUCGGAUCGUAAACCGCUGAAUCAGGGACGAAAGACGCGAAAGCGGGAUGACGGUACCUGAGUAAUAGCACCGGCUAACUCCGUG
rnacentral:rRNA from 1 species